ACAUGCAAGUCGUACGCUUCUUUUUCCACCGGAGCUUGCUCCACCGGAAAAAGAAGAGUGGCGAACGGGUGAGUAACACGUGGGUAACCUACCCAUCAGAAGGGGAUAACACUUGGAAACAGGUGCUAAUACCGUAUAACAAUCGAAACCGCAUGGUUUUGAUUUGAAAGGCGCUUUCGGGUGUCGCUGAUGGAUGGACCCGCGGUGCAUUAGCUAGUUGGUGAGGUAACGGCUCACCAAGGCCACGAUGCAUAGCCGACCUGAGAGGGUGAUCGGCCACAUUGGGACUGAGACACGGCCCAAACUCCUACGGGAGGCAGCAGUAGGGAAUCUUCGGCAACGGACGAAAGUCUGACCGAGCAACGCCGCGUGAGUGAAGAAGGUUUUCGGAUCGUAAAACUCUGUUGUUAGAGAAGAACAAGGAUGAGAGUAACUGUUCAUCCCUUGACGGUAUCUAACCAGAAAGCCACGGCUAACUACGUGCCAGCAGCCGCGGUAAUACGUAGGUGGCAAGCGUUGUCCGGAUUUAUUGGGCGUAAAGCGAGCGCAGGCGGUUUCUUAAGUCUGAUGUGAAAGCCCCCGGCUCAACCGGGGAGGGUCAUUGGAAACUGGGAGACUUGAGUGCAGAAGAGGAGAGUGGAAUUCCAUGUGUAGCGGUGAAAUGCGUAGAUAUAUGGAGGAACACCAGUGGCGAAGGCGGCUCUCUGGUCUGUAACUGACGCUGAGGCUCGAAAGCGUGGGGAGCAAACAGGAUUAGAUACCCUGGUAGUCCACGCCGUAAACGAUGAGUGCUAAGUGUUGGAGGGUUUCCGCCCUUCAGUGCUGCAGCUAACGCAUUAAGCACUCCGCC
rnacentral:rRNA from 1 species